rnacentral:rRNA from 1 species
GACGAACGCUGGCGGCGUGCCUAAUACAUGCAAGUCGAGCGAAGUUUUUCUGGUGCUUGCACUAGAAAAACUUAGCGGCGAACGGGUGAGUAACACGUAAAGAACCUGCCUCAUAGACUGGGACAACUAUUGGAAACGAUAGCUAAUACCGGAUAACAGUAUUUCUCGCAUGAGAGAUAUUUAAAAGUUGGUUAUGCCAACACUAUGAGAUGGCUUUGCGGUGCAUUAGCUAGUUGGUGGGGUAAAGGCCCACCAAGGCGACGAUGCAUAGCCGACCUGAGAGGGUGAUCGGCCACACUGGGACUGAGACACGGCCCAGACUCCUACGGGAGGCAGCAGUAGGGAAUCUUCCGCAAUGGGCGAAAGCCUGACGGAGCAACGCCGCGUGAGUGAAGAAGGAGUUCGGUUCGUAAAGCUCUGUUGUUAGGGAAGAAUGGAUAUGUAGUAACUAUACAUGUAAGAGACGGUACCUAACCAGAAAGCCACGGCUAACUACGUG